rnacentral:rRNA from 1 species
UACGAAGGGGGCUAGCGUUGUUCGGAUUUACUGGGCGUAAAGCGCACGUAGGCGGAUCGUUAAGUCGGGGGUGAAAUCCUGGAGCUCAACUCCAGAACUGCCUUCGAUACUGGCGAUCUCGAGUCCGGAAGAGGUGAGUGGAACUCCUAGUGUAGAGGUGGAAUUCGUAGAUAUUAGGAAGAACACCAGUGGCGAAGGCGACUCACUGGUCCGGUACUGACGCUGAGGUGCGAAAGCGUGGGGAGCAAACGGG